rnacentral:rRNA from 1 species
GUUCUUAUGGAUCUCGUAAUUGGAAUGAGUACAAUUUAAAUCUCUUAACGAGGAACAAUUGGAGGGCAAGUCUGGUGCCAGCAGCCGCGGUAAUUCCAGCUCCAAUAGCGUAUAUUAAAGUUGUUGCAGUUAAAAAGCUCGUAGUUGAAUUUCGGGAUCAAUUUAUCGGUCGUGCCAAUGGUAUGAACUGGUACAAUUGGUUUCUCCCUUCUGACGAAGCAUGAUGUCAUUAAUUUGGUGUCGUGGGGAAUCAGGACUGUUACUUUGAAAAAAUUAGAGUGUUUAAAGCAAGCAUUAGCUUGAAUACAUUAGCAUGGAAUAAUGAAAUAGGACGUUUGAUCCUAUUUCGUUGGUUUCUAGGAUCGACGUAAUGAUUAAUAGGGAUAGUUGGGGGCAUUAGUAUUCAAUUGUCAGAGGUGAAAUUCUUGGAUUUAUUGAAGACUAACUACUGCGAAAGCAUUUGCCAAGGAUGUUUUCAUUAAUCAAGAACGAAAGUUAGGGGAUCGAAGACGAUCAGAUACCGUCGUAGUCUUAACCAUAAACUAUGCCGACUAGGGAUCGGAUGAUGUUAAUUUUUUAAUGACUCAUUCGGCGCCUUACGGGAAACCAAAGUGUUUGGGUUCCGGGGGGAGUAUGGUCGCAAGGCUGAAACUUAAAGGAAUUGACGGAAGGGCACCACCAGGGGUGGAGCCUGCGGCUUAAUUUGACCCAACACGGGGAAACUCACCAGGUCCAGACAUAGUAAGGAUUGACAGAUUGAGAGCUCUUUCUUGAUUCUAUGGGUGGUGGUGCAUGGCCGUUCUUAGUUGGUGGAGUGAUUUGUCUGGUUAAUUCCGAUAACGAACGAGACCUUAACCUGCUAAAUAGCUAGGCUUAGCAUUGCUAGGUCGUCAGCUUCUUAGAGGGACUAUCGGUGUUUAACCGAUGGAAGUUUGAGGCAAUAACAGGUCUGUGAUGCCCUUAGAUGUUCUGGGCCGCACGCGCGCUACAUUGAUGAAGUCAACGAGUUCACUCCCUUUGUCGGAAGACAUGGGUAAUCUUUUGAAACUUCAUCGUGCUGGGGAUAGAGCAUUGCAAUUAUUGCUCUUAAACGAGGAAUCCCUAGUAAGUACAAGUCAUCAGCUUGUGCUGAUUACGUCCCUGCCCUUUGUACACACCGCCCGUCGCUACUACCGAUUGAAUGGCUUAGUGAGGACUUCGGAUUGAGCUUCGGAAGCUGUAAAAGGCAUCCGAUUUUUAAAAAGUUGUUCAAACUUGGUCAUUUAGAGGAAGUAAAAGUCGUAACAAGGUUUCCGUAGGUACCUGCGGAAG